rnacentral:rRNA from 1 species
GACGAACCGUGCGAACGUUGUUCGGAAUCACUGGGCUUAAAGGGCGCGUAGGCGGCUUCGCAAGUCCGGGGUGAAAGCCCCCAGCUCAACUGGGGAAGUGCCUUGGAUACUGCGAAGCUCGAGGGAGGUAGGGGUCGAGGGAACUUCUGGUGGAGCGGUGAAAUGCGUUGAUAUCAGAAGGAACGCCGGUGGCGAAAGCGCUCGACUGGACCUUUACUGACGCUGAGGCGCGAAAGCCAGGGGAGCAAACGGG